rnacentral:rRNA from 1 species
GAACGAACGCUGGCGGCAGGCCUAACACAUGCAAGUCGAACGCUCCGCAAGGGGGAGUGGCAGACGGGUGAGUAACACGUGGGAACCUACCUCGAGGUGCGGAACAACCAAGGGAAACUUUGGCUAAUACCGCAUGUGCCCUUAGGGGGAAAGAUUUAUCGCCUUGGGAUGGGCCCGCGUCGGAUUAGCUAGUUGGUGUGGUAAUGGCGCACCAAGGCGACGAUCCGUAGCUGGUCUGAGAGGAUGAUCAGCCACACUGGGACUGAGACACGGCCCAGACUCCUACGGGAGGCAGCAGUGGGGAAUAUUGGACAAUGGGCGCAAGCCUGAUCCAGCCAUGCCGCGUGUGUGAUGAAGGCCUUAGGGUUGUAAAGCACUUUCGCCGAUGAAGAUAAUGACUGUAGUCGGAGAAGAAGCCCCGGCUAACUUCGUG